rnacentral:misc_RNA from 1 species
GAUGAAGAACGUAGCAAAAUGCGAUAAGUAAUGUGAAUUGCAGAAUUCAGUGAAUCAUCGAAUCUUUGAGCGCACCUUGCGCUCUUUGGUAUUCCGAAGAGCAUGCCUGUUUGAGUGUCAUGAAAAUAUCAACCUUGACUUGGGUUUUGUGCUCUAGUCUCGGCUUGGAAUUGGGUGCUUGCCGCUUUUACGAGCGGCUCACCUUAAAUGUAUUAGCUGGAUCUGUCUUUGAGACUUGGUUUGACUUGGCGUAAUAAGUAUUUCGCUAAGGACAUUCUUCGGAGUGGCCUCGUUUCUAGGACGCUUGUCCGCUUUCCAAUACAAGUUCCACCUCGUGGACAUGACUUUUUAUUAUCUGGCCUCAAAUCAGGUAGGACUACCCGCUGAACUUAAGCAUAUCAAUAAGCGGAGGA